CAGAGACUGCAAGCGUUAUUCGGAUUCACUGGGCGUAAAGGGUGCGCAGGCGGUUGGGUGUGUCAGAUGUGAAAUCCCGAGGCUCAACCUCGGAACUGCGUCUGUAACUACUCGACUAGAGUACUGGAGAGGGUAACGGAAUUCACGGUGUAGCAGUGAAAUGCGUAGAUAUCGUGAGGAACACCAGAGGCGAAGGCGGUUACCUGGACAGUUACUGACGCUCAGGCACGAAAGCAUGGGGAGCAAAAGGGAUUAGAUACCCCUGUAGUCCAUGCCCUAAACGGUGCACACUAGGUCUUAGCGGAUUCGACCCCACUAGGGCCCAAGCUAACGCGUUAAGUGUGCCGCCUGAGGACUACGGUCGCAAGACUA
rnacentral:rRNA from 1 species